CGAAGAGCUUCUUCUCCCCGUCUCGGCGGCAUCGCCGCAUCGCCUUCCCAUCCCCUUCUCCGACGACGGCGAGCGCGGGCGCGGCGGCGUCUACGUAUCCGAGGUAACCCAAGGAUGGCGCCGCGCCGCGCUUACUACGUACGCGGGAAGACGCGACUACGAGCGCGCGCUCGAGAGAUGUCGCCAACUCCUGCAAAUCACAAAAUUAUAACAUAUCCUCCAGUAAGACGGCACUCCUUGUGUCUUUUACUGUCGUAUGUCAUAUUGCAGUUCCUGCACAUUGUAACUAAGGGCAUUCACAGUCUGCUGAGGUGGUGUUAUGCCUCAGCCCACCACGCCGGACCGCCAGUGCCACGGAGGCUGGUUAACGUGCCCGACAGGGAAGUUCGCAUCCUGAGCAGGGUACGCGUCUCUCGGCCUCGACCCGUGCGAGGCAGCGUCUUGGGCUACGCGUUGGGAGAAUGCAGCGCCUCCGCUGGUGGUCUCAGCGUGCGCGAGAGGGAGUAGCCCCAAAGUCACCAUCAUCCUCUCCCGCGCAGACACUCUCCUUUCAUCCACUCGUUCGGCGCCGAGGUGAGCUCCCUCUUCCUUGGUUGAAGGCUGGUCCCGGCGGCGAGCUCGUCGCCCGUCCAUUCUUUCCAGCCGGGAGGGAGGACCUGCUAGGCUUGCUGUUCGGAGCAGUGCGCCUUCGCUGCCUCAUCCAGAUCGAUUUGGAGCAGGUCCUAUGGAUCCAAGCAAGAUUGCUGGUUACAUGCGACAAUGUGUUCUGAAAUUGAUUUUCUAUUUGUAGAUAGCAACAGGCCGGCAUUUUGUGAUCAUCAUUUUGGUUGAUCAGUUGGUGACGAUGAUGAUCAGACUUUUGUGAGCAAUAGCUGGUUUUUUGGUGCUCCGAGAACUGCUACAAGAACUUUGCUGACGGAGGAUGAUAGCAGACAUGUGUUUGGCCAUUUCAUUGCAGGACUUAAGUCAUGCUAUUGCUCAGCCCCUUGUGCUGAAGUUCUUGAUCAUUGAGGGGGCUCAGAUUCAGGACUUGUUGGGCGAAGGCACAUGUCUUCACUAACAGAAACUACCACUUGUGAAAUUGCAGCAACAAAUGUCAUUUUAUCCACCUCAAUUUCUGCUGGGGUCUCAUUAUUUUUUCUGGAAUACGCGCGAGACUCGCGUAUUUUUGUAUUAAGAGGAAUAAAGCUCAGCAAAACAAAAGUACAGGGGGAGGGAGGAAACAGUGAAGGGAAAUACACAAAAACUAAAAGAGAAAGAGGAGGAAAAUUAAGCAAAUAAAGCCUAAUCUCGCGGUGAUUGUUGAGCCACCAGGGUAGCGUUCGGUUGAAGGCUAAGCUGCGGAACGCCUCCCCUUGCAAGACGCCAGAUUUCCGCUUCUGCCGCCAUUGCGGAUGUGAUCUCGUCCCAAGUUCAUUGCUUUUGGUUGAAUAUCCUUGCGUUGCGUUCCUUCCAAAUCGUCCA